GUGAGGAAUUUUCCGCAAUGGGCGAAAGCCUGACGGAGCAAUGCCGCGUGAAGGAUGAAGGCCUAUGGGUUGUAAACUUCUUUUCUCAGAAAAGAAUUAUGACGGUAUCUGAGGAAUAAGCAUCGGCUAACUCUGUGCCAGCAGCCGCGGUAAGACAGAGGAUGCAAGCGUUAUCCGGAAUGAUUGGGCGUAAAGCGUCUGUAGGUUGUUUAAAAAGUAUUCUGUCAAAGAUUAGAGCUUAACCCUAGAUAGGCAGAAUAAACUUUUAAGCUAGAGUGUGGUAGAGGCAGAGGGAAUUCCCGGUGGAGCGGUGAAAUGCGUAGAUAUCGGGAGGAACACCAAAGGCGAAGGCACUCUGCUGGGCCAAUACUAACACUGAGAGACGAAAGCGAGGGGAGCAAAUGGGAUUAGAUACCCUGAGUAGUCC
rnacentral:rRNA from 1 species